GGCUGGUCCAAAGGUAGUGAGUUAUCUUACUUGAUUGUUCACAGUUAUAGAUGGAACCCCUUGUUCUACUCUUUCCCCCCUUCUCACUACUGCACUUGACUAGUCUUAA
rnacentral:Y_RNA from 1 species